UAACUCUUAACCAAGCUGUAAAAAGCCCUAGUUAUUGUAAAAUACUUAACAAAGGUAACUUUAAAAUUUUUGACUACACAAUAGCUAAGACCCAAACUGGGAUUAGAUACCCCACUAUGCUUAGCCCUAAACAUGAAAAAUUAUUAACAAAAUUAUUUGCCAGAGUACUACCAGCAAAAGCUAGAAACUCAAAGGACUUGGCGGUGCCUUACAUCCUUUUAGAGGAGCCUGUUCCAUAUUGAUAAACCCCGAUAUACCUUACCAACCUUUGCCAAAUCAGCCUAUAUACCGCCAUUUUCAGCAAACCCUAAAAAGGAGAUAUAGUAAGCACAAAUAUUGAUCAGURAAAAYGUUAGGUUCAAGGUGUAGUCCAUAGGUUGGAGAGAAAUGGGUACAUUUCCCWAAUUGGGUAUAGGCUCACGAAAACUMAUGGMAAUCAUA
rnacentral:rRNA from 1 species